AACCUGCGGAAGGAUCACUA
rnacentral:rRNA from 2 species